rnacentral:rRNA from 1 species
AAAGCGUGCGCAGGCGGUUGUGCAAGACAGAUGUGAAAUCCCCGGGCUCAACCUGGGAAUUGCAUUUGUGACUGCACGGCUAGAGUGUGUCAGAGGGGGGUAGAAUUCCACGUGUAGCAGUGAAAUGCGUAGAUAUGUGGAGGAAUACCGAUGGCGAAGGCAGCCCCCUGGGAUAACACUGACGCUCAUGCACGAAAGCGUGGGGAGCAAACAGGAUUAGAUACCCGGGU